CGGAGCAAAACAGGGCAGCCGGCUAUUUUAGUCAGGAAAGUCCUCUCACACUAUAAAAGCUCCUUAAAGGAGAGUACAGGGAUGCACUUGGGAUGGCACAGAAACGAUACCCUUUCGGUUAUAAGAUGACUGUAAUAUGAUGUUCCCGAAAGAAGGAUGAAACGAGCAUCCUGCUUUGGUGUGCAAGCCAGAAUGGUGCUUAGAUGAAUCUGCUCAAUCUCCAGAUGACGCGAAAACGCUGAUGAGAUACAAAAAGAGGCUUAUCUUUUGCACCG
rnacentral:RNase_P_RNA from 1 species